GACGAACGCUGGCGGCGCGCUUAACACAUGCAAGUCGAGCGAGAACCAGCCCUUCGGGGCUGGGGACAGCGGCGAACGGGUGAGUAACACGUGGGUAAUCUGCCCUCGGCAUCGGGAUAGCCCGGGGAAACCCGGAUUAAUACCGAAUAGCCUCCGGAGCCUUCGGGCGCCGGAGAAAAGGGAGCUUCGGCCUCUGGCCGAGGAUGAGCCCGCGGCAGAUUAGCGUGUUGGCGGGGUACCGGCCCACCAAGGCGACGAUCCGUAGCUGGUCUGAGAGGACGAUCAGCCACACUGGGACUGAGACACGGCCCAGACUCCUACGGGAGGCAGCAGUGGGGAAUCUUGCGCAAAUGCGGGAAACCGUGACGCAGCGACGCCGCGUGGGGGAAGAAGGCCUUCGGGUUGUAAACCUCUUUCAGGAGGGACGAAGCUACUCGGGUUAAUAGCCCAGAGGGUGACGGUACCUCCAGAAGAAGCCCCGGCUAACUACGUGCCAGCCGCCGCGGUAAUAC
rnacentral:rRNA from 1 species